CCCAGCCGAAGGAUUCCAAGAACGAUCGUAACGCAUCCUGACAAAAAGCACAGAAGAAUGGCGUACUCCGGAAUACCUCUGGAAACAAUAGGAAAAUUAAUGAAAUUACACCCGUUCAAGUACACGCUGGUUCGGUAAUCUAAUUCGUUUCAUCACGGUGCGAAUUGCGGACACGAGAUUGAAAGGAUAACAGCAUCCGUUCAACCGUUGUUAAAUUAUAUCAGUCUUCCAAUUGCUCGCGAUUGUUGAUCUGAAAAACAUUUUCGAGGCCCACCGGAAGUCUGAUAAACAGCAAAGGGAUGUAACUAAUCACGGUACCGCUCACCUGGCAUACGUAUACGUCAACAAGGAGAUCAAUGCUGUUGGACCGAUAUUCACUUCUCGACAGUUUCAGGCGAACAACUUGGAUGGAUCGUCGAGACGUUAGGAGCUUACCGUUUGAUGCGUCCUCUCCUACCUGCUCUACACUCUGAUUAAAUCUACAGCUGUUUCACACGUGCCUCCGCUCUCCCUCCACUUGGAGAACCUGCUGAUACCUUGUCCAGGAUACGAACGCAUGCGUCGCCCCCUCUAAAUGGUCAUUGGCUUCGGAAAACCCAAAUCAUGGACAAUUUACCGAACUAUUUGCCCUUUUUUCACGGAUCCAUGGCCGGAUUUUUAUUCAUAGAACUUCCUGCUGGGUGUUUCCCAUCCUGACGCUCUGAUAAUCUUCGUCAGAGUUUGUUUGGUUUUGUUAAUAGUAGAAGUGUGAUGUAGAAAAUAGCAUAGUGCAGAAUUACUUCAAAGAAAGGGGCCACGGUGUUUCUGUAUCUUUAUGGAGUUCUUAAUUCUCCUUCAUAUGUUUUAUUUAGUAUUUUGAUUAUAUUAAUUAUUAUUCAUCUCUUUAUCAAAUUAACGCUUUUUAACCCUUGAAAAUAUUGAACUAAGCAUACACUUAAAUACCAAUUUGAUAAAAUGGUACUUAAGUGAAAACAGUGAGCCUUGGAAAACACUUAUCAUGGAGGAAUAUUAUUUUGAAAUUUUUGAUGGAAAAAGUUAGAUGAUCGCAAAGUAUCAUUACCUUAGUGAUAGAAGAUGGAAAGUAAGUUUUAGGAUGGUGACGAGAUGGUAACUGGUAAAAGUGGUAUUUAGUAUUUUGACCAUCAAUUGUAUUAAUUAUGAUUCAUCUCUUUAUCAAAUUAACGCUUUUUAACCAUUGAAAAUAUUGAACUAAGCAUACACUUAAAUACCAAUUUGAUAAAAUGGUACUUAAGUGAAAACAGUGAGCCUUGGAAAACACUUAUCAUGGAGGAAUAUUAUUUUGAAAUUUUUGAUGGAAAAAGUUAGAUGAUCGCAAAUUAUUAUUACCUUAGUGAUAGAAGAUGGAAAGUAAGUUUUAGGAUGGUAACGAGAUGGUAACUGGUAAAAGUGGUCGCGACUCUCUAUGAUUACGUGGCGUUAAUUUAUGUCUCCUGUGAAAAAGCAUAAACGAGCUUGGUAGAAACAAACAAAUCGUUAUAAAAAACAAAUAGAAGUAGAGAUACGAUUGUUCCACUACCAGAUUCCUUCAUCGAUCGCCGUGGAAUGUGUCGAUUACUUCCACAAACGACACGUUCCGCUACACUUUUCCAUACUGUCACGUUUCUUUCCUCGUUUUUCACUCGAAUUCUUUUUAUCUAUUUUGGUUUCUUUUUCCUAAGAGAAUGGUUGAAAUUCUUCGCAUGUGCCGGCCACUGUGUGCAUGUCUGUAAUUACAAGGACGUUCUGUGUUCUUGAAUGACGAUAUGUUUUGCAUGUUAACAUGCUUCUCGUAACACGUCAACACAAAAAGUAACAGAAACUUCUGUUCUUUUCUGAUGUAUCACGAAAUUAAUGAGAACUGGUACGUGUCAGUAACAAACGUCUCGAAACGUUUAAUAGGUAAUUUGUCAAAGUCGUUGAAAAAACAUUCUAAUCAUUCAGCUGCUUCGAAUGAUAAGUGAAAAUAACAUGUUAAUACAUGACCUUAAAAGACUAGUAUUGAUACAGCUUGAACGAGAUCAUCGUUUAGCCAUGAAUUUAUUACCGUUUCACGUCUCGUUGGGCAUUGUUUAUAAGAAUUGACACUCGGUGACUCGAAAAUCACUAAAAAUAGAAACAAAUUAUGUACGUGAUUUUUCGCGUUUACCGCUACAUCUCCGCCGAUAAAUAUGCUCAAGUUUAGUCUUGAAAGCGAUCUCGAUGUGAGAAUUAUCAAUAAAAACUGUGAACGCGUUAAAAGCUAUUAACGUGAUCUAGAUUAAUUUACUAUAAUGAUUCUAUUUUUUGAAAUUUCAAAUGUAUUUCGUCUCGAUCGGUUUUUACCAUUGUAUACUUGUUCGUCAGUUAGUCCAACACUUAAGACAAUAUUUAUAUUCUUCAUUAUUUACGAAAGCAAUCGCAUUUGCUAUAAAUAGCCAUGCUUGACCGUCUCUUAUAAAUAUAAAAAUCAUGAAAAAUAAGCAAUGAACUUGUAGUAUAAAAAUAUUAAUAAAUUAGUUUCGUUGUAUUGUUUAUUAAAAAAAAAGAAUGGUAUGUUCGAGGAAUGCUAUAUAAAAAAGUUUCGUUGAAAAUAAAAGUGUUCAGUGUGUUGUGACGAAGUAAUUUGUUAUGUAAUCAACGAGUUUCUUGGAAAUGAUACAAUUAAUUGCAAAUUUCUCAGACAACUACGUAGAUUGUAGAAUUGUAAAAAAA